AUCCAGCUGACGAGUCCCAAAUAGGACGAAACGCGCGUCGUGGAU
rfam:Schistosoma rodhaini strain Burundi genome assembly, scaffold: SROB_scaffold0002800